CUGUUUGUUUUCCAGCGCUGUGGGCUCCCUGAGCAUUCCCAAAGCAGUGCCGCAGCUGUCUGUGCCCCCUGUGCAUUCCCAAAGCAGUGCCACAGCUGCCUCUCCCUGUGCUCCCUGUGUAUUCCCGAAGCAGCGUCCCAGCUGCCUGUGCUCCCUGUGUAUUCCCAAAGCAGCAUCCCAGCUGCCUGUGCUCCCUGUGUAUUCCCGAAGCAGUGUCCCAGCUGUCUCUGCCUGUUGCACAGAGGGCACAGCUGGGAGUCAUUGCCACGGGCCGGAUCCAGCUCGAGCUCCUGGAAAACGAUUCAAACGUGUAGGGAACGUGUUCGCGCAGCCCAACGAGCCGGUGAACGCUGGUAAUUGUGAAGACCACUCGCAUUCCCGUUACCAUCACACUCUUUAAACAUCUUUAACAACUACACGCCAUGGAAAUCAGCGUUCGUGGCAUGUAAAGAAAGCCGAUGAUGUACUUAACACCAAUCUUGGCACGCGAUGAGAACCAUUCCCGAGGGCCCGCUGGCAGGACAACUGGCACCGUGGGAACUGCUGUCCGAGCACAACCCGCCUCACCCGGGACAGCGGGGCCGGUUCCCCAGGGCGCUCCCCGCUCUGAGGCUCUGCACAAUCACGUUUCCAUCAAGCUUUUCCUGCUCCUGUGCAACGCCGGGGCGAGAGGAAGCGCCCGAUUCCGGCGGGGCCCCGCCGCCGCCGCCCGCCGCGGAGCCCCGCACGUACCUCCACGGCCUGGCCCAGCUCCAGGUCGAAGCCCACCACACACACGCAGUGCAGCCAGGCCGAGAAGCGGUCCCAGGGCAGCAGCGACAGGCACUGCUCGGGACCCUCCGGCUCCGCCAGCGCCGCAUCCUCCGCGGCCGCCCCGGCGCCGCCCGAAGCCGGGUCGGUGUCCGGGCCCCGCUCCCGCCGCGACAUGGCCCCGACCCCGGCCCCGCCGCGCGGAGCCACGUGACCGCCCCGCCCCGCCCCCCCGGAGCCGCCCGGAGUGGGCGGGGCCAAGCGGGCACCGAGGGGCGGCUGAACCAUUCCUGCGGGGAGCGGGGGGGGGCGGUAGGGGCGGAGCGCCCCCCAGCGGCCCGCGGGGAGGGCGGCGGUGCGGCCGCGGCUCGGCCCGGCCCGGCAGCUCCGAACGGGCACCGGGAGGGCCGUGCAGCUUCAGGGGCGCUUGAGACACAGCAACCCCGCCCCCGAGAGCCCAUAUUACAAUAUGGUUUUGCUUAAUAAAGCAGCUACUUCAUUGCUACUUUAUGCUGUGGGAGCAGCUCUGCAGGCAGGGGCACGAUCCCAGUUUUCUGUUCCUCCGCGGCAGUCAGUUACAGUCAGCUUAGAAUUCACCACAGGCUUCCUGCAGCAAAACAUCUCAUUUUUCAUCAAGUCAUUAAGAUUCAACACUCUCAAGCCAAAAUCCAGAUGUUUUUCAGAAAAAGGACAGACACCUCCGUGGGAUCCUGCUGCCCUUACCCAACAUGGCUGCGAGGUGCUCUGCCUGCUUCGGUUGUGACAGUGGUUUGCAGAAACAAAGCAGGAGCUGACACAUCCUCCUCCUCCUCCUCCCCCGAGCACAGCACAGCAGAGCACUUCACACCAAACUCUUCGUCCACCUGUUGCUUCCCACAGUUCUAAGAGGGACACUUUCUGGGAAUGACGGAAUUAAAAAUGAAUUCGGACCAGAGAGGCCCGUUCAGCACCAACGACCUUGACAAAGUCAUCUUUCCUUGGCUUCUAGAAAACGGGGAUAAAUAUGAUUAUAGAUGAUGCUCCGUGACUUACUGAGGGAAGACACUGCACCAGUGACCCCACCCCAGUCCUGUCCCUGUUCCUGCAGCCACCGCUCCAAAGCUCCCCCUGGUCCAGCCACCAACCUGCAACUAGAGAAGGCAAACACGGCCAGCGUUCCUCCCGCCCCGGGGCACGGCAAACCACACUGCGGCU